rnacentral:rRNA from 1 species
UACGUAGGGUCCAAGCGUUAUCCGGAAUCACUGGGCGUAAAGCGUGCGUAGGUGGCGUGUUAAGUGUGAUGUUAAAUCGUGUGGCUCAACCAUAUCGAUGUGUCGCAUACUGGCAUGCUAGAGGGAAGCAGAGGCAAGUGGAAUUUGUAGUGUAGCAGUGAAAUGCGUAGAUAUUACAAGGAACACCAAUGGCGAAGGCAGCUUGCUGGGCUUCUUCUGACACUGAGGUACGAGAGCGUGGGGAGCGAACAGG